CUUGCGAACCAAACAAGACUUUUAAGUUUAAGAUAGGGCCCCACGGCAGAAACUUGGUGACAUAUAUUUUUUUAAUGAAAAAGGUUGGGAGGUUCCGUCACCGACUGAGAGUUCUAGAGAAAGGAUUUUGCCUCUUCACCUGGGGGGAUUCGACGUCGGAAAGGUGUCCCGAAGGUAGGGUUUCGAGGGUUGCUAAUGUCGGUGAGUCCACUGAGGCUUCCACGAGUUCGUCAUCAAAAGAGAAGGGGGUGGCUUAUUCGCCCCCGCGUUCGGAGUCGGGGUGCCAGGAGAUCUGCGAUUGGAUUUCCGAUCGACAUGGGCCCAGGUGGUUCAAGGCCGGCAGCGUUUCCAGUGGGAGAUGCCUCAUCCCUCAGAGGUGGAUAUUUUAGCUCUUGAGACACGAUUUAACGAGUUUGUCAUGUUCUCUGAGGAGGAGAUUCAACGCAUGGAGAAGAAGUGGAAAGCGACGGUUGUGGGUAAGUUUUUGGGGCAGGGACUUCCUCUUGAUUUUGUCCAAAAAGAGAUGAAGAAUAGAUGGCAAAUCAAAGAGGAGUUCUAGGUAAAUCCUUUAUCUGAAGGUUAUAUGUUAUUUUGUCUACCAUCUGUGAAGAUUAGAGCAAGGAUUCUGAAGUCUUGUCCAUGGACAUUGGUGGGGCAGUUGUUGGUGGUGGAAUGUUGGAGGCCUAGUUUCAAACCGAACAUGGACCCUAUUAGUAAGAUAAAUAUAUGGCUUCAUUUGUUGGAUCUGCCGCUUGAGGUUUGGGGAAAGAAAAUGAUUUUGAAAAUUGCUUCCAAAGCUAGGAAGCUAAAAUUUUGAAUCCUUGGACUGUCAACUCUUCCUGGUUAGGCUUUGCGAGGAUGUGUGUUGAAUUGGAUUUGGCCCGCCUAAUUUGUCCUGAGACUAAGCUUCUUAUAAAGGAUUAGAUAAUAUGGUAAGAGUUUAUAUACGAGAAUCUACCUGCAAUUUGCUAUCACUGUGGGCACAUUGGAGUUACGCUAGAUACCUACUCUAAAUGCAAGGAUAAGGAUAUUCCUCAGGAAGGUAUGCUCUUUGGUCCAUGGAUUAGAGCAGCUCAGGUCCCAGUCCCUCAUUCAGAUCCUUCUAAGAAGCCAAGUUCUCCUUCUACAGGGGCGACCACUCUAUGUAAUUCUUGGCUUUCUCCUAAGAAAAUUAUGUCUAAAUAUUCAUCUAAGUCUGUUCCAGAGAAAGUGACCCCUGAGGCUACAGCGGAGAGCUCUAGAUUCACACCUUUGGCUGAGAUGGAGGAUGCUACUACAUCAGAGAAAGCUUCAAUGGAUGUGUUCAUAUUUAAAUCUUCAGACCCUACCUAUACUGAAGGUUCCUUCAUUAAAGAGAAACAAAAGAGGUCUCCUACUUAUUCUUCUACAUCUGCCAGAGCUGCAUCAUCGGUUUCUCCACCACAGACUAAGGUUAUAGUCCAUGAGGGAGAUAUGGGUAAAGAAUCUUCUUCUUGUGAUUCUAAAGCUUUGAUUUUAUAUCCUAAAGCUCUUGGAAAAAGGAAGGUUUGACGGCCGAUGAGAACCAACCCCAUUAGGUUCGAUGGGUCCUCACCAGUUGCUGCUUCUCUUGCUGGUACAUAAGGAUCCAAUGAGCCAGCGGCAAAGCCAGGCAUUAGAGAUCAUGGUCGGUUGGUCUAUCAAGUCUCGCAGGUGCUAAAAUCUCAUUUUAUUUCGGUUGAUGAUAAUCAAACUGAGAAGUCUAUGCGUGAUAUGCGAGUGGAGCCAAAUGGACAUUACCCAUCCUCUGCUACUAAUGAAAGUGCUAAUAUAGAACUGUUGAGGGGCUGCUAAGCCCUCGUAUCGUAUUACAUCCUGCAUCAAGCAAAUUUAUUGCAUGAAUACCUCCUCCCUUAGGGAUGCUCACUAUAAAUUUUGAUGGAGCUGUUACAUCAGGUCAAGCAGCAUAUGAUUUUAUUAUUCGUGAUCAUGAAGAUUCCAUGCUAGUUAUUAGUGGUAAGCUUCUUCCUUGUUCUACUGUUCCAUUUGCAAAGCUUAUUGGUGUUUGAUUAGGAAGUAUCUUGUAUGGCAUUACUGUACCCAAGCAAUUUGGAUUCAAGGAGAUUUCAUUGUAAUUUUUUGGAUUCAGAAGUUACAACAUAACCAGAUGGCUUUGUCCCUCAGGAUGAAAGAUAUUAAUUUAUGGCUUUCAACCUUUUCUUCAGUGAAAAUAUCUCAUACCUAUCGUAAAGGUAAUUAUGCGGCAGACUGGGCAGCUACACACGCCUUAUUGGGGGAUUUUUACUUUACCUCUACCGGGCUUUAUGAACACCCUGAGCUGAUCCACAUUUUAAGGGCUGAUGCCUAUUCGGUUGCAUUUUCCAGGCAUGGAAUUGCUACUUCUUGCAUGCUUGUCCUUACUGAUAAUCCAUUGGUUGCAUUUUCUAUGCUUUUUUGGUCUAUGGGUAUUUAUCAUGAGUUCAGUUCUCCUUUAUAUUGAUACCUGUGCCUGUGUUAUUCUUCUCUAUAUGUGUCAAAUGGAAUCACAAGCUGUAAUUAGCUUAACUUUACUAUUGUGUGCCAAGCUGCAAGUAGGGGAUAUUUCAUGUUUAGGUAUGUUCAAUGCUCUGUUACUGUGGUUCUAUAGGCGCUUGCAGCGCCUGUUGUUUGAGUUUCAGAUCCUUUAUAUUUUUUCAAUGCAAUACAUAGUGCCUUUUCGCAGUAAACAAGAUCUGUUAUGUUGGUCAUCUGGUUGCAUCCACCUAGUCAUGGUGCUGUUAACGUUUUCAUAUCCCAUUCAGGUUACAUGGUUGCUUGGUUAUAUGCAAUUUUUAAGAGAUCAAUGGAGCCUAUGUUUUCUGCUUAACAUUCUGUAUUUCCUCUGCUGUAAGUUAUGGUCUUCAACGAUUUUAAUAUUUUUGAUUCUGGUUCUGACUGUAGCAUGUAGAAUGAAACUAUGCUUGUGCCAGGAUGCUGCGAUAUAUGCUUCUUAUAUCUAUAUCAAAAUUAUACAGUUCCUGCAGCCACUUGUUGAGUUGUUUGGUACUUAUGGGGUUAAGUACUGCAGAUUGGCUAUGUUUUUUCACUGUGGUAUAUUACCUAGGUUUUUAGCUUUCACCAAUUGCCCUGCCCAGAGGUUAUGGAUUUCAUACUUCAGUUUUGCCUACAAGAUCGCUAUUAUGUGCCAUUUUUUCACUAUGAUGUUAAUCUGACUCUUGGUUUGGUUUUUUUAUUUAUUCUCUUGUAUAUGGAAUCUCUGUUGCUAGCUGCACCUGUCCUUAUUUUGGAAGAACUAUUUAGUACUGUCAUUUUGUAUACGUAAGCAGCACUACUGUUUACUUUGGGUUGUACAUAUGACUGCUAUUUAUCAGUAAAGUGUUUUUCUCCGUAUUCCAAAAAAAAAGAAAAAACACCCAGAUUUUAUUA